ensembl:lncRNA
GCUGGUGACAUAACUACUGAAAAAACAUCAUGUGUGGCCAUGACUUACUGUGCGUUCAAGUCCUCCUGGGAAGUUCAUAUUUACGAUUCAGAUAAACAGUGGUGUGCUGUAGCAAGCGGUCAGCGGGCAGGAAGCAAGCGGCGAGGGGUGACUGUGACUCAACCUCGACAGAUUGCUGAGAAGUAACUGAGGGGAGAGAGUACAGAUGCCUCUCCUGCAUCAAGUGCUACUGAACCUGAGGAGCCGACCUACCAGCUACCACAGAGAGAGAGACACCCGCCAAGGCGCAUCACCUACGAUCAGCUGGGUACUCCGUCCUGCUAUAGUAUCCAGCCACAGCCGCAGUUGUUGCCUUUCUACCCUGCACCAGGACUGGUCCCAUGGUUGCCACCCUUGCAGCCAUACUACCUUCAGCCACCCUGUAUGUAUGGACUCCAGCAAACGGCCGCUUAGUCUGCACAGGGUCGACUGGGAGCCUGGAGCCUAUCCCAGGGGACAUGGGGCACAAGACGGGGGACACCCUGGACGUGGUGUCAGUCCAUCGCAGGGCACAAUCACACACCCAUUCAC